rnacentral:rRNA from 1 species
GACGAACGCUGGCGGCGUGCUUAACACAUGCAAGUCGAACGGAAAGGCCUCUUUCGGGGGGUACUCGAGUGGCGAACGGGUGAGUAACACGUGAGUAACCUGCCCUUGACUUUGGGAUAACUUCAGGAAACUGGGGCUAAUACCGGAUAGGAGCUCCUGCUGCAUGGUGGGGGUUGGAAAGUUUCGGCGGUUGGGGAUGGACUCGCGGCUUAUCAGCUUGUUGGUGGGGUAGUGGCUUACCAAGGCUUUGACGGGUAGCCGGCCUGAGAGGGUGACCGGCCACAUUGGGACUGAGAUACGGCCCAGACUCCUACGGGAGGCAGCAGUGGGGAAUAUUGCACAAUGGGUGGAAGCCUGAUGCAGCAACGCCGUGUGCGGGUUGACGGCCUUCGGGUUGUAAACCGCUUUCGCUCAUGACGAAGCUUUGUGUGACGGUAGUGGGUAAAGAAGCACCGGCUAACUACGUG